CAGUACGGUGCAUACCACCAUUUGCUGUAGAGCUCUAACAGGGGUCAUAAUGUCAUAUAAAAUGCAGGCAACUAAUGCUCACUGCUCUAAGAACUGACCUCAGCCCAAUCUUCAUCUGUGAAAUGGUCUGUAAUGCUGUUGCUCUUCCAGUCAUGAAAGGCCACAAAUGCUCUUUUACAAAUCUUCACAAGAAGCUCCACUGCCUUGCCUGUUGUUCCUCACAGGAGUGUGUGCAGAUGCUGUCCGGACACUAAGGAACUGGUACUGCCACUCAGUUUUUCUCAGGCAAAAUUCUCCAGUAGUCUGGGUAUGUCAUACUCUCUCAUCUGAUAGUAUCAGGCAUGGAUGUGGGUCUUUCUCUUGAUCCCUGGGACAUUGCAGACAAGAAUGGAAGAAUUUCUGGCUGAAAGCUCAGGAGACGUCACCUUCUUUUCAGCUGACGGCUAUUUUAGAAUGGGUAUUUGAGAACUGGAAUAGAGAACUAGGAGAAAAAUAAUCAGCACAACCUCUGUGAUGGAAUGGCAAUGGCUCUCAACUGAAUAGAAGGAGAUGUUUACUUCUUUCUAAAUGUCAACAAGGAGCAAUAAACGUCAGUUUAUUAGUGACAUCUCUCCAAUACAGAAAUCUGAACAUAGUGACAACCGUGACCUCAGGGUUACAUUAUUCCCAAGAACAUAAGCAGAAGUGAUAUUUGAAGUUCACAUCCGCCUUUAAAAUGUAAAGUUCUACUCUAGGAGCUGUCAAAAAAUAAAUAAUGGGGUAUGGUUGAUGUGACUAUUGUGCCUGAUCGUGUUUCACAAAUAAAUAAAAAGAGUCAGUCUUCAAAAUAA